rnacentral:rRNA from 1 species
GCUAAUACAUGCAAGUCGAACGAACUCUGGUAUUGAUUGGUGCUUGCAUCAUGAUUUACAUUUGAGUGAGUGGCGAACUGGUGAGUAACACGUGGGAAACCUGCCCAGAAGCGGGGGAUAACACCUGGAAACAGAUGCUAAUACCGCAUAACAACUUGGACCGCAUGGUCCGAGCUUGAAAGAUGGCUUCGGCUAUCACUUUUGGAUGGUCCCGCGGCGUAUUAGCUAGAUGGUGGGGUAACGGCUCACCAUGGCAAUGAUACGUAGCCGACCUGAGAGGGUAAUCGGCCACAUUGGGACUGAGACACGGCCCAAACUCCUACGGGAGGCAGCAGUAGGGAAUCUUCCACAAUGGACGAAAGUCUGAUGGAGCAACGCCGCGUGAGUGAAGAAGGGUUUCGGCUCGUAAAACUCUGUUGUUAAAGAAGAACAUAUCUGAGAGUAACUGUUCAGGUAUUGACGGUAUUUAACCAGAAAGCCACGGCUAACUACGUGCCAGCAGCCGCGGUAAUACGUAGGUGGCAAGCGUUGUCCGGAUUUAUUGGGCGUAAAGCGAGCGCAGGCGGUUUUUUAAGUCUGAUGUGAAAGCCUUCGGCUCAACCGAAGAAGUGCAUCGGAAACUGGGAAACUUGAGUGCAGAAGAGGACAGUGGAACUCCAUGUGUAGCGGUGAAAUGCGUAGAUAUAUGGAAGAACACCAGUGGCGAAGGCGGCUGUCUGGUCUGUAACUGACGCUGAGGCUCGAAAGUAUGGGUAGCAAACAGGAUUAGAUACCCUGGUAGUCCAUACCGUAAACGAUGAAUGCUAAGUGUUGGAGGGUUUCCGCCCUUCAGUGCUGCAGCUAACGCAUUAAGCAUUCCGCCUGGGGAGUACGGCCGCAAGGCUGAAACUCAAAGGAAUUGACGGGGGCCCGCACAAGCGGUGGAGCAUGUGGUUUAAUUCGAAGCUACGCGAAGAACCUUACCAGGUCUUGACAUACUAUGCAAAUCUAAGAGAUUAGACGUUCCCUUCGGGGACAUGGAUACAGGUGGUGCAUGGUUGUCGUCAGCUCGUGUCGUGAGAUGUUGGGUUAAGUCCCGCAACGAGCGCAACCCUUAUUAUCAGUUGCCAGCAUUAAGUUGGGCACUCUGGUGAGACUGCCGGUGACAAACCGGAGGAAGGUGGGGAUGACGUCAAAUCAUCAUGCCCCUUAUGACCUGGGCUACACACGUGCUACAAUGGAUGGUACAACGAGUUGCGAACUCGCGAGAGUAAGCUAAUCUCUUAAAGCCAUUCUCAGUUCGGAUUGUAGGCUGCAACUCGCCUACAUGAAGUCGGAAUCGCUAGUAAUCGCGGAUCAGCAUGCCGCGGUGAAUACGUUCCCGGGCCUUGUACACACCGCCCGUCACACCAUGAGAGUUUGUAACACCCAAAGUCGGUGGGGUAACCUUUUAGGAACCAGCCGCCUAAGG